GACGAACGCUGGCGGCGUGCUUAACACAUGCAAGUCGAACGGAAAGGCCCUGCUUGCAGGGUACUCGAGUGGCGAACGGGUGGGUAACACGUGGGUGAUCUGCCCUGCACUUCGGGAUAAGCCUGGGAAACUGGGUCUAAUACCGGAUAGGAGCCAUUUUUAGUGUGAUGGUUGGAAAGUUUUUUCGGUGUAGGAUGAGCUCGCGGCCUAUCAGCUUGUUGGUGGGGUAAUGGCCCACCAAGGCGGCGACGGGUAGCCGGCCUGAGAGGGUGGACGGCCACAUUGGGACUGAGAUACGGCCCAGACUCCUACGGGAGGCAGCAGUGGGGAAGAUUGCACAAUGGGCGCAAGCCUGAUGCAGCGACGCCGCGUGGGGGAUGACGGCCUUCGGGUUGUAAACUCCUUUCGCUAGGGACGAAGCUUUUUGUGACGGUACCUAGAUAAGAAGCACCGGCUAACUACGUG
rnacentral:rRNA from 1 species